GUCCAGGGCUGCCUCCAGCCUCCAUCGCCUCUCCUCUCCUCUCCUCGUCCAGGGCUGCCUCCAGCCUCCAUCGCCUCUGUGUCCGACGGGGGAUCCACAGGAGCAGCAGUCAGUCAGGCUUCACAGAGCAUCAUCACACAUGACACUGCUUACCAUUUAGAUGUUAGAGCAUGCGCCUUAGAAUUGGAGGGGCAGUUUGUAUGGCUUUGUCCAUACUUUGAUGUUUUGGUGAUUGUCAGACCACUGUACUGUGGCUGCCAAAUUAAAAUGAUGUCGCUCGCUGUUCUUGAAGCCUACAGGGGCAAUGUACUUCUAUUCCCAGUGGAAACGAUGAAUCUAUUAAGCAGGUUUUCCAAUGGUCCUUGAAAAUUUGAAUUUGAGGGGAAGAAAAUCAAGGCCUUGAAAGUUUUUGAAUAUAGACGUCAAUAGACAUGGGUCAUUGAAAGUGUUUUAAUGUAUAUAUUUUGUGUUAGAAAAGGCAAGAGACCACAUAGUCUGCCAUCACGAAUACAGCACUGUUGAGAAGUGUUCUCACAUUCAAGCCUUUCUCUUUUUAACGGUUGUCUGGGCGCUUCUGUAAAACCUGUUAGUUCUCAUAGAAAUUCUUAGUGUUUUAACAGUAGUUAACCUUGAUCUGUGUCUCAAGCCAUGCUGUGUUGGGUCCCUUAGGGGAUUUGAGGGAAUUGGGCCUUUUAAUUUGAUCAUUAAGAAGGUGUGGGAAUCCUGAUUAAGACACUCCAUAGGAUUCUGGUGAUGGUCUCUUGGGUAAACACAGCUAAAUCAAAAAUGGCCAAACUUGGAUCAUGUCAAUUUUUCAAGAACUAAAGCAUGGUCAUCAUAUUAACUUUAAAUAUUCAUUGUUUCAAUUUGGCAUAUACAACAAAAAGUCCACAAAUCACAUCAAUGUGUCACCGCAUAUGUGCAUAUGUAUGACACGUGCUCUCCGGGCUGCAUCUACUGUGUAGAACCUCAGCAGAAGUUCCACAGUGCGAUUUGAGGGAGCACUAGAUUUAAGACCCGUCAUGAUUAAUGUAGUGCUAUGGCAAACCGUGUGGACCUCCUGUGAUCAUCGCUGUAAAUACAGUACGGAAAUGACUUUAACGCUCCCUCUGUGAGUUGCCUUUGACUGGGCACUCUGUGGCGGCCUGCCGCCCUCAGCCAUCGGUCUGAGCCCUGCUGUUCUUAAACAAGCGGAGACUUUUCUCGAGGACUUGUUUUUUAAAAAAAAUAACUCCUACAGCACCCCUGUGGAAAUGAAACAUGGUUUGUUAUUGUUGUUCUUGGUCGUAGUCCAGAGCACUUUGCAGUCGCUGACGUAUAACUUCCUAUCUCGGCUGCUCCUAGAAUCUACCCAGGAUGGUAGGAAUCUAGACCUGGAGUUCAGACAAUGACUAGGUCACGCGUAAGAGAACGGAGCGUUUUGUAUUUGACUCGAGGGAGGAAUGUUGUUUAUCACACAUUUCAAAGGAGCUGCUAAGAUUGCCGUUACCCCCUCUGCUCUAACAAUCCAAAAUUGAAUGUACAAGCGUGAACAGAUUCCUGUUGUAUUUAGCCCAUAACAUAGACGUAGAAGAAGACUGUAGGCGAUUGCAAGAGAGAUCUGUGUCCUGACAUUUCAAACUAACUGGUUUAUGAAGUUUUGUAUGAUGGCCAGUUUUCUCUGUCUAUGUUUACCCUGACGCUUGGAGGUUAGGGAUGUCUUCUGUCCUGAACCACUCGCCUCUGCUGACCCCUUGUGGCUACAUCUUACAAAACUGGCUAAUUAGGAGGAGCUCUAUGAUGCACGCUGGGAUGAUCAAACCAGACUGCAGGAUUUGAUUAUGGAGUGAUAUUGAAGCAGAGAGAAAAAAAAAGAAAAAAAAGCUAGUCACAUUCUGACCUUGGACAGAAUCUUUUUCUUCCGCAUGUCCACACAGCUGCAGCAGGUUGGGAGAUGUUCUCACAUGUACCGUACACAAUAGUGGGCUUCUUCUUUUGAGGGUUUUGCUGACAGUGCUGUCUGGGCUCUCUCUCUGUGUGUGUGUGUGUGUGUUCAGUGAGUUAACAGUAAGGAUGAGCGAGGGAAAUUGUGUGGCAGACAGCAGCAUUGUUCAGGCCUCCAUCACUCAAGGACUUUCUCUGAGGCUUCACUGCUCACCUGUGCUAUAAAAAGAUCUGUGUGUAUGUGUGUGCCAGCAUGUUUUGAGGAGGUGUUUACCAGUGUGAUGUGACACCACGGUACUCUUCCGCAUGGAAACAAGGAGACGAUUCUUCCAGCACGGCAGAGGACAGGCACGCUCUGUGCCGGGGACAUUCCUGGCAUGCCUGCGCCAUCACGUCAGAUCUCCCCGCGUCCUGCUUCUCUUUCAGCCCCACCACCCCCCAGUCCUGACGAAACACCCAAUCAGGCUCGUUCGCUGGCUCGCCCGCCGGCCGGAGUGCCAGCAAUCGAUGUGUGUCGAGGCCCGCAGCACCAGUGCCAGGGGAGCCUCGCUGUGAGAUGGCCAUCCUGUGGGCACAGGCAGGGUGCCCCGAGCAGAGCUAGUCCGCAAACAUUAAUUUCUAUUUUUGGGCACAGAGACUGAUGGGGGUGCUGCACAGAACAGCAGGCAGGAAUCCUGUGUGAAGUGUUUAUCUGAAGAGUUUCUGAAAUGUUCUAGAAACCAUCAAUCAAGCUGACAUCAAACCAUAAAAAAAAAAAGGAACUCAAACAUAGACUGGUGGGUCGUUGAUUGACAUGCAAUCCAUUCAAUUCUUUAUGUGACUUUCAAAUGUGCAUACAGAGAAACAGGUAUUGACAG